rnacentral:sRNA from 1 species
UUUGUUUUUAAGAUGAUCUCAAGUAGAGUACAACAACAAGGGCGGACAAACCGAAGUCGAGUUGUUCCUGAUCAUAAUCGACACUAUCAAGAUGAAUGGGCAUCUGGAAGGCCAACAAUUUUCAGAUGUCUGCUCUGCAACAGCAGACGACGAUCUAUUCAAUUCUACCCGUGCCGUCAUUUACUAUUCUGUCUGUGUUGUGGUUUCAACGUUAGAGUGUGUCCAGUUUGUGGACUCAUGGUCAUUUUUAUAGGAUACGUUAUACAAACCGGAUGACCAGCAGAUUUAAUAAAUAGAAUAAUAUUUUAA